GGGUUUGUAGCUCAGUGGUAGAGCACUUGCCUAGCACAUAUGAGGCACUGGGUUUGUUCCCCAGCACCA
rnacentral:tRNA from 1 species